rnacentral:lncRNA from 10 species
AGAAUAGGCAAGCUGUGCUGACAAGAUCAGAAGGUUACUAUCAGAACCGUCAGCUCCAGUUUGCUGCAAGAUCUGAACUGGCAAAAUGGAUCUCAUGAACUACUGUGUGUUCCCCACUUAACUCAUCUUCAAAACCAAGUAUGUGGGUGAAUCAGAAUUUUAGAACUAAAAUUAUAACCAGAAUCUCUGCUAUAAGCCAGGAACAUGAAACGUUUAGUUUCCCAGUGUCUAUAUUAAAGGAAGAUACACCAGCAGGAUCUUGUACCAUAUUUUGAAUAGGCCAGUCUACUGAAUCUACCACAAUCAUCAGCAUUCUAAGAUUCAGCUGAGGACAAGACCCUGGCACUUAAUAGAAUAGAAGUGACUGAAAAUUGAAUGAUGAUUCCUGUGGAGAGUAUAAAAUAGUCUCGAGUAUAAAGAAGAGGAUGAAGGCUUAAGCAGGAAACUUUGACAGCUCCAAAGACCUUAAUCCUUAUAAAGAAGUAAUGAAGUUUCAACUUUGCACUCAGGUUUUCAAGAAACCUUUGCAACUUUAACAUAGCAUUUUGAGGAGUAAAAGUGACACCUGGAAAAAGCCAUCCUUGAGAACUAACUCCCCACAAACUGAUCAGAUGUCACAACUGUGAUUUUUCUUCAGAGAGAGCAAAACUAUGGGUUAAGAUGUGUUUGGAAGGCAGAAAUCUGACCAAGAGUCUGUC